UACGGAGGAUCCGAGCGUUAUCCGGAAUUAUUGGGUUUAAAGGGUGCGUAGGCGGCACUUUAAGUCAGGGGUGAAAUACGGCAGCUCAACUGUCGCAGUGCCUUUGAUACUGAAGUGCUUGAAUGUGGACGAAGGAGGCGGAACGGGACAAGUAGCGGUGAAAUGCAUAGAUAUGUCCCAGAACCCCGAUUGCGAAGGCAGCUUCCUAGGUCAUGAUUGACGCUGAUGCACGAAAGCGUGGGGAUCGAGCAGG
rnacentral:rRNA from 1 species